rnacentral:lncRNA from 1 species
UGCAGUCCUCACAAAUGAUGUUAACAUAGACCGCGGAUCCAUGCAAAAGCAAACACCUCAAUCAUUUCUCUCCAACAAAUGAACAUCCAAAUAGAGUUCAUCCGCACGAACGGAAAGCAAGGAACUGAAAUCGAAAAAACAAAAAAAAACAUCAGCCAGGCAAUAGGGAGACACGACUAAGGAAUGCUGAGCCUUGGCCGUGUAGUUGGUGAAUUAAUGUGGCUGGUUUGCCCUCCCUAGCUCGGGGAUGAGGACAGCUGGGCGGUCGGUCGGUGAAUCAUCUGAUGCGGCUGCAGAGGCUCUAGUUGCCGACGGGGUAUACAUCGUGCUGAUUGGGGUAGGGACGAUGGCCUGCGGUGGUGUCGAGGUCGCGACUCUUGUCGUAGUUGUGAAGGCCGCCUGCAGUGCGGCAGCGAGAUCUGUUAUCGCCGACGAGGGAGUACGGUUCGCCGACAUGAUUGAUGUGGAGAUCGCGUGAGUUGUGUAGCUCGAGCGAGCAGAUCUGGCUGUGGAGCGAUUUACGUUGAGGGCGGAGGUUGUGUUGUUUUCGAGGUGGGUAGAGAUCUCGUUGGUAAUGGGAUCCGUCGAUGAAUUGGUGUUUCAGGCGUCAGCGGUGAGGGUUGG